CAGCAGCCGCCGCGGUAAUACGAAGGGGGCUAGCGUUGUUCGGAUUUACUGGGCGUAAAGCGCACGUAGGCGGACUUUUAAGUCAGGGGUGAAAUCCCGGGGCUCAACCCCGGAACUGCCUUUGAUACUGGAAGUCUUGAGUAUGGUAGAGGUGAGUGGAAUUCCGAGUGUAGAGGUGAAAUUCGUAGAUAUUCGGAAGAACACCAGUGGCGAAGGCGACAUACUGGAUCAUUACUGACGCUGAGGCUCGAAAGCGUGGGGAGCAAACAGGAUUAGAUACCCCAGUAGUCCCUGUCUCUUAUAC
rnacentral:rRNA from 1 species